UUAGGAAGUAGCUUUCCUUCAAGGGUCCU
rnacentral:piRNA from 1 species